AGCGUAGGUGGUUUCUUAAGUCAGAGGUGAAAGGCUACGGCUCAACCGUAGUAAGCCUUUGAAACUGGGAAACUUGAGUGCAGGAGAGGAGAGUGGAAUUCCUAGUGUAGCGGCGAAAUGCGUAGAUAUUAGGAGGAACACCAGUUGCGAAGGCGGCUCUCUGGACUGUAACUGACACUGAGGCACGAAAGCGUGGGGAGCAAACA
rnacentral:rRNA from 1 species